CGUUUGAUUUGCAUUUCGAAAGAAAGAAGUUUCGUUCAAAAAUUCACGAUGAAACAAAGCAAUGCUGGUGUUAAAAAUCUUGCAUGAAAUUCUAACUGCCAACCCCUCCGAGGCCUGAAAAUGAUGAACAAAGCAAUAUCAGGAGAGACUUCAACCGACAAAGCCUACUAGCUGAAGUUGGCUAACGAUCUAACAGUUGGAAUGCCUUGUUCGAGUAGUGGCGAAUGCAAAGCUGUGCUUGGUGGCAACCGUCCCUCAAGACACUCUACAACAACGCUCUGACUAUACUCCUCUUGAUGAAACCGAGCAGCCAUGCUCUGUUGGAGAGCAAGCAAGAUAAUAUUUGAGGUCAACAUGGCAGAAGCUUGACAUGACAAACUCUUCAAACAACCAAUAGACUGAGCCGAGAAAGGGGGCUGAGAGGAAAGAUUCAAAGAAGAAGAAAGGUGGUGGUAUUUUCAUUCGAAGCAGCUUUAAGCGUCGAUCCAGCGGACAUAAUUCAGAGAUAAUGGCUUACGAUAUACAAUUGUGUGAAAAUGACAGGAUGGAAUUGAUGAGGAAUAAAAAAAUAAGGAAAUAACAUCGGAGGAAGCAUGGGAUCAAUUGA